UACGGGGGGGGCAAGCGUUGUUCGGAAUUACUGGGCGUAAAGGGCUCGUAGGUGGCCCGCUAAGUCGAACGUGAAAUCCCCAGGCUCAACCUGGGAACUGCGUCCGAUACUGGCAGGCUUGAAUCCGGGAGAGGGAUGUGGAAUUCCAGGUGUAGCGGUGAAAUGCGUAGAUAUCUGGAGGAACACCGGUGGCGAAGGCGGCAUCCUGGACCGGUAUUGACGCUGAGGCGCGAAAGCUAGGGGAGCAAACGGG
rnacentral:rRNA from 1 species